rnacentral:lncRNA from 1 species
UGAUACGCCUAAAAAUAUGCUAUUUAUUUAGUUAAUUUACUAUUAUAUUUUAAUUAUUUUUAUUUCGAUUUCGAAGUUUUAUAUUAUGAAUCGUUACUUAUUUCUCGUAUUUUAAAUAAACAGAUAAAAAGUGUACGAGUUGAAGAAAGGAGCGAAAACGGACCAAAAAGGAGCAAAACCGGACAAAAAGGGCCACACACGUGCAGACAAUUAGGCCACACGUGUGCAGCCCACCAACACAAUUGCAUGACAGC